rnacentral:rRNA from 1 species
UACGUAGGGUGCGAGCGUUAAUCGGAAUUACUGGGCGUAAAGCGUGCGCAGGCGGUUCGCCAAGUCAGGUGUGAAAUCCCCGGGCUUAACCUGGGAAUUGCGCUUGAAACUAGCGGGCUUGAGUGCGGCAGAGGGGGGUGGAAUUCCACGUGUAGCAGUGAAAUGCGUAGAGAUGUGGAGGAACACCGAUGGCGAAGGCAGCCAUCUGGACCGACACUGACGCUGAGGCGCGAAAGCGUGGGGAGCAAACAGG